CCAUUGUCUUCCUCUGUAGACAAAAUACUCUUUCAGUUUUGCAGCUUUCCCAGAAGAUAACAAAUCCUGUGCGAAUCCCAGGGUAUUUUUCCACUUACGACCGUUCUUGUAGUAUCCCGAAACCCCUCUAGGGGGAUUGUAAUAACUUUGUAUCCUCUAAUCCAAAAGUCAAAUUGUUGCUUAUUUUCCAACAGUUUGUAUCCAUAUUAUAGCAAAUUGUAACAAAAUUAACCAGCAAGGUCCUCAUAACAAAGUCCUCUUUAUAUUCUCCAGCUUUGACAGCCACUUUGACAGCUGUCAAAGUCUCCGUCUCUCUUCACCAGGCUCCACGAAUCGCCCCGGUUCCCAGGGGGGGGGUUGCAUUUUUCUUCUCACCCUCCACUCUUCUCCUCCAGCACAUUUCUUAUAAUUUCCCAUCGUGAAAUUAAUGAUUUUUAUCAGAAACAUACUUCCCUUUGGACCUUGGUUACCCAGUCCUUGUUUUGGAAUGCUUACAAUAGGGGGGGGGAUUGACUUCCUUUUUAAUCGCCCCCGCUCGUGCCAAAUCCAAAAUUUUGAACCCGGUUUCCCAAUUUACUCACGGGUUGUUGUUAAUAGUCCAAAUUUUCAAUAGAAGAAGUCAGCGCUCUCCGUCGAAUGGCAUGCGGCUGCGCUCGGCAGGGAAAGCAGUGGACUCAAAGCACCACGCCACUCCCGGCACCCGAUCCGAAGCCUUUAAAAAGGCUCCUUCACGAGUCGGGAGGGCGCUAAUGGUGCAAGCCGAGUCACCCAUGUCCACGGACUCCGUGCCCGUGGUUUUUAAGGGUCCCCGCGUCGCCGGCGCGGUAGGACCCAGCCCCUGCCGAGCAGACUCCCUCCGGAGCUCGGAGGGAGUCCGCCAUUCGGCGAUGGCGCUAACCCGGAAGU